UACGGAGGGGGCUAGCGUUGCUCGGAAUGACUGGGCGUAAAGGGCGCGUAGGCGGAUGGCACAGUCAGAUGUGAAAUUCCUGGGCUUAACCUGGGGGCUGCAUUUGAUACGUGUGAUCUAGAGUGAGGAAGAGGGUUGUGGAAUUCCCAGUGUAGAGGUGAAAUUCGUAGAUAUUGGGAAGAACACCGGUGGCGAAGGCGGCGACCUGGUCCUUAACUGACGCUGAGGCGCGAAAGCGUGGGGAGCAAACAGG
rnacentral:rRNA from 1 species